UACGUAGGGUGCGAGCGUUAAUCGGAAUUACUGGGCGUAAAGCGUGCGCAGGCGGUCUGUUAAGACCGAUGUGAAAUCUCCGGGCUUAACCUGGAAACUGCCAUUGAUACUAUCAAUCUUGAAUACCUUGGAGGUGAGCGGAAUAUGUCAUGUAGCGGUGAAAUGCUUAGAUAUGACAUAGAACAUCAAUUGCGAAGGCAGCUCACUACACGGUCAUUGACACUGAGGCACGAAAGCGUGGGGAUCAAACAGG
rnacentral:rRNA from 1 species